CCCCUGCUGCUGGGGGCAGCAGACAGCAGAUGAGAGGGCGUGGUCUUUCCCAGGGAACCCAGGGGCCCCUUGGCCCUCCUUGGGAGGCAGUGAACCAUGGAGGAAGCAGGGCCCUCCCACCAGCUUCCCUUUGUGCAAUUCUUUUUCCUGCUCCUCUCCACCCAGAAGCAGGCCUGGCAACCAGGCUGAAACACCACUGGCAGAAACCCAGCACCCACACAGCCAGGCAUGGGCUGGGGUUCCCCAGGGAGGACCAUCAAUCUUCUCACCCACCUAAGGCAUUUGGCCGCAGGAGGAGGGCCUCAGAGUUCCUACCCGAUGCUGAGUGGGACCCAAGGGAACAGGAUGCCAGGCCUCUGCGGGUCACCCGUGGUGGUAUGUGUGAAACCCCGGGCAGAGAACCCAGCGUGAGCCACGGGCCCAUCCCCAUCGGCCCAGCUCAGCCUGGCAAGGAGGCAGCCAGGUCCCGGAGAGCAGGGGCCCCAGAACCAGCUUCCAGAAUUGGGGGUGUCUCCCCAUCCUGACUUUCCUCCACAACCCACCUGGGGUCUGUCACUCUACACCACCCAAAGCUCUUUACAUCGUGCCCUGUGUUGCAAUUCAGUACAAGUGCCCUGUGCGGAAGGGUGGCCUUUUACUCAUUCCAGAAAUAAAUGGCCAUCAAGCACCCACUA